CUGCAACUCGCCUACAUGAAGUCGGAAUCGCUAGUAAUCGCGGAUCAGCAUGCCGCGGUGAAUACGUUCCCGGGCCUUGUACACACCGCCCGUCACACCAUGAGAGUUUGUAACACCCAAAGCCGGUGGGGUAACCUUUUGGAGCCAGCCGUCUAAGGUGGGACAGAUGAUUAGGGUGAAGUCGUAACAAGGUACC
rnacentral:rRNA from 1 species